rnacentral:rRNA from 1 species
AUACGGAGGAUGCGAGCGUUAUCCGGAUUUACUGGGUGUAAAGGGCGUGUAGGCGGUUUAGCAAGUCAGAAGUGAAAUUCCCGGGCUUAACUUGGGCGCUGCUUCUGAAACUGCUUUACUUGAGUGCUGGAGAGGAUAGUGGAAUUCCUAGUGUAGCGGUAAAAUGCGCAGAUAUUAGGAGGAACACCGGUGGCGAAGGCGGCUAUCUGGACAGUAACUGACGCUGAGGCGCGAAAGCACGGGGAGCAAACAGGAUUAGAUACCCUGGUAGUCCGUGCCGUAAACGAUGAAUACUAGGUGUAGGGGGUAUCGACUCCCUCUGUGCCGCAGUUAACACAAUAAGUAGUCCGCCUGGGGAGUACGGCCGCAAGGUUGAAACUCAAAUGAAUUGGCGGGG